UUGACAUUUAUUAUAUCAUCAUGCACAACUCACUAGCACUAAGUAAAAUCAAGUUCAAUCGGUUGAUUAUUAAUUAUGCAACUGUUCGUUAUUUCUCUUGGUUUAUAUUGAUCUAAUCAUGAUCAUGGUUUUCUUGAGCCAGAGAUCGCUGAGCCAAAAGGAAAAGAGAAUCAACAAGCGGUUGCCACCAUCAUAUCCUCAUGCUUCGAAGGACUGCCCUCACCUACGAGCUUCUCGGAAGCGGCAUAAGCCGGCACAUUUCUCAGCAUCAUCAUAGCCUGACGAGCAUACACACCAACUACUUGUUCGGCACACACGAUCUCAACACGAGACUUCGGAUCGACAAUGGUUCGGUAAACGCGUACUUUAGGCACAAGUUUAAAUUCAACUUGCUUUUUAUUAGGCACGAAUUUGCAUUAGACUCGUUUAUUGUUAGACACGAGUUUACAAAAACUCGUCUUUGACUAGGCAUGAGUUUACAGAAACUCUCCUUUUACUAGGCACGAGUUCUCAGUAAAUUCGCCUCUGUCUUAGCAUGAGUCAAGUAAACUCGUCUUUCGCUAAGCACGAGUUUAAAGCAAACUUGCUUUUUACUAGGCACAAGUUCGAAAUAAACUCGCCUAAACCGUCAUAGGCAUGAAUGUGUCUAGUUCAUUGUCUAAUAAACCCUAUUCGUAAACUUCACAGAGAUCGAUUUCAUCUCUCUCAACGAACUUGGGGGGCUUACUGUUGGGGGUGUAUUUACAUCCUCCCUCAAGGCCUAUUAGACAUUGAAUUAGGUCUAUAUUGCUAAAAAGCCCUAGGCUUCAUCUUUCUCUAAAUAAGGAGCUACCUCCUUCUUAGGAAGGAUCUCUUCUUCCCCAUUUUUAGACCUAACACUUCAUACAAAGAGUUUAUUGAUUCUUAGAUUUAUUUACACUUGUAAUCAUACAUGUAAUACAAUCUUUGAUCUAUAAAUUCUUUUUGAUGUUCAUUUUCUAUUUGAUUUCUAUGUUAAUUUCUCUUAAGCCUCAAGAAUUUAAGAAAUAGAUUUUUUAAAUUCUUUAUUGUUAUGAAUCCAACAUAAACACCAUUUUUUGAUCAAACAACCACAUAACACCAAAAGUAGUGUAGGUGGAUUGACAACAUCCGGGUACUGAACGUGGUCGUGCUUAAUCUUAUUGCAGUUAGAAACUCUUGUUAUUAGAUAUACAUACUGAUAAGUAAAUAGAAACAUUAUUGAUAAGCAGUAUAUAUAUAACAACCUUAGAGCUUCAAGGCCCAAUAUCUGCUCACGUGGAAUCCAUCCUUCCACGUUCAUUAGGUCUAACCAGUGUCCAACAAUGUCCAAGGUUAUGCGGAAAUCCCAACGCCUAAAUCAACCUCACACAUGAGCACUUCACAGGAUGAUUUAGAAGACUUUAUUAAGAUAUUUUAGUCAUGAUAUCAACGAACCAGAUCAACAUUUGAUGGAAACCUUCAUCCGACAAUUGUCCCCAUGGAAGUUUGGAUCGGCAUGGAACUGAUGUGUACAGCUCAGCUGGCCAAUAGUGCAAGAAAUGAUGCUUACUUUUAUGGUAAUAUACUUUUGAUUGACCAUAGAGGUAACCAAUGCCUCCCAUAUAAUCUCAAGGAUUGUAUAAGAACACAAUAUAAAGAACUCUCUUUAUUAGCUUAAGAACUUUCUCAAAACUUAAGCUCCACACAAUCUCUCAAACUCUUCAUAUCUAUGCAACACUCUUGCAUCUUAUAUAUAGAUGUUAUUUCCUAAACUCUUAGGACUAACUUUUCUAAACUCUUAGGAAUUAACUUUCCUAAACUCUUAGGAAUUAACUUAUUCUAAUCCUUACUCAAAAUAAGAAAGAUGUAACUUAGAUCCUAAGUUAACCAUGUUUAUCUCUAACAUUCUCCCCUUUAAACUUGAAGUUAACUUCUUCAAUAUCUUGAACUCCUACAAGCUCUUUCAUUUCUCUAAACUUGAUUCUUCCUAAAGCUUUAGUUAGAAUGUCAGCCUUCUGUUCUGUUCCUGGAAUGUGCUGGACGUCAACCUGCUCAUUCUCGAUACAUUCACGGAUGAAGUGAUAGCGUUUAUGUAUAUGCUUACUACGACCAUGAAAAACCGGGUUCCUUGUAAGCGCUAUUGCUGAUUUGUUAUCCAAACGAAUCACAACUCUUUCUCUUGUCUCCUUGGUGAUCUCUUCCAACAGUUCUUGAAGCCAUAUGGCUUGUUUUGCAGCUUCUGUAGCGGCCAUGAAUUCAGCUUCACAUGAUAAAAGAGCCACAGUCUCUUGUUUCUGAGAGCACCAAGUGAUUGGACACUUCUUUAAGUAAAAUAUGUGUCAUGUGGUGCUUCUACCAUCAUCCUCGUCUAUAUUGUGGCUUGAGUCGCUAAAUCCUUCCAGUCUUAAUGCGUUUGUGCGUUCGUACACGAGACCCAGCUUCGACGAUCCUUUCAAGUACCUCAAGACUUGCUUAAGAGCUGCUCCAUGAGACGUCUUAGGACCAUGCAUGUACCUGCUCAAAAGGCAUACGCUAAAAGCAAGAUCGGGGUGUGUGUGUGUAACAGAUAGCGUAGACACCGUAUCUUUCUCCUAUAAUCCUUCUCAUCUAUGCUUUCUUCUUUAUCUGCUUUUGAGACCUUUAAGCCAGACUCCAUUGGUGUCUGGACUGCAUUACAUUCUUCCAUACCGGUUUCAGACAAGAUCUUCUUAGCAUAUCAUUCCUGACUCAAUGUUAUUCUUCCACGUUCUUUAUUCACUUCGAUACCAAGAUAGUAUGUUAACAAUCCGAGAUCACUCAUCUCAAAGUUACUUGACAUCUCUCUCUUGAACUCAUGUAUCAUACUUUGCUUUGAUCCCAUGAUUAGUAAGUCGUCAACAUACACAGCUACUAGGAGAAGAUGAUUUUUCUCUUCCUUGCGAUACAAGGAAGGUUCCUUUGAACAUCUCUUGAAGUUUAAUUUCUCUAAGACUUUAUUCAGCUUCUCGUUCAAGGCUCUUGGGGCUUGUCUUAGGCCGUACAGAGCUUUAUUAAGUUUGUAUACUUUCUCUUCGUGACCUCUAACUUCAAAGCCUUCAGGUUGACUUACGUAUAAAACUUCUUUUAAUUCUCCGUGGAGGAAAGCGGUUUUGACGUCUAGGUGAUGGAUCUCCCAUUCGUUUGAGGCAGCUAGAGCAAUAAGAAACCUCACGGUCUCAAUCUUGGCAACUGGUGCAAAGACUUCUUCAAAAUUGAUACCGUGACGUUGAAUAUAACCUUUAGCCACCAGCCUUGACUUGUACUUAUUUAUGCUCCCAUCUGCAUUCCGUUUUAUCUUAAAGAUCCAUUUUAAUCCAAUUGGUUUAGCUCCUGGAGGUAAGUCAACGAGAUCCCAAGUUUUAUUCUUCACAAUCGAUGAGAUUUCUUCUUCACAGGCUUCACGCCAUACCUUCUCCUCCAUUGCAUCUCUGAAAUUCCAUGGUUCUUGAUCAAGAAGAAGCAAGAGGCGUUCUCCUUCUACUUCGGCAAGGUAGAUGUAGUCAUCGAGAUAACCAGGUUUCUUUGAGAUUCUAGUUGAUCUUCGUACUUGAAACUGCUAUGUUUGCUCUUCAUCAUGAUGAUCGCUGUCACCAUCCUCGACUGUAUCAUCUUCUUCAUGAGUGUUAUCGGCCUGGUUGUCAAUAGUAGACUCGUUAUCUUCUUCCUCUUGUUGAUUCACAUGAUCUCCAAGUGAAAUUUUAAACAUUUCGGGCUUCUCUAUUACUACACGAUCCGUCUUGUUCCAUUCCCAAGAUUUGUUUUCAUUAAAGACCACGUCCCUGCUCACUACUAUUCUCUGGCGUGUGGGAUCAAAUAGUCUAUAUGCCUUAAAGCCUCGCUCGGUUCCAAGGUGCACGAGAGUAUGAGACCUAUUAUCGAGUUUUUUUAAGUUUGUCGCCUCUGUUUUUGCAUAAGCAACACAUCCAAAUACUCUUAAGUGAAUGAUGUUUGGUUUUCUCCCUUUAAAAACUUCAUACGGCGUCUGUGAGAUCAGGGUCUUGGUUGCUAUACGAUUUAUCAAGUAAGUUGAGUGCCUCACAGCUUCUCCCCAAAGGUAAUUUGGUACGUCCAUGUACUUCAAAAUGCUUCUUGUCAUCUCUAAUAGGGUUCUAUUUCGCCUUUCUACCACUCCGUUCUGCUGUGGUGUAUAAGGAGCCGUUAAGUGACGUUGUAUACCUGAUUCUUCGCAGAACUUUUGAAACUCCAAGCUUGUGAACUCUCCACCUCUGUCUGUCCUCAGCGUCUUGAUGGGUGUACCAGUUUCUCGUUCAACUAAUGCCUUGAAUCGUUUGAAUUUUUCGAACGCUUCUCCCUUUUCCUUUAACGUAAUAGACCACAUAUAGCGUGAGUAGUCAUCUAUGAGAACGAAUAUGUAUCUGUUUCUCCCUAUGGUAGAUGGUGUAAUCGGUCCGCAGAGAUCUCCAUGAAUGAGUUCUAGUAUCUCGGAGGCUCGAUACGAUGUAGCUGCUGGGAAUGAGUGUCUUGUUUGCUUUGCACGCAGACAAGAAUCACAUGUUUCUUUCUCGACUUUGAGCUUGGGAAUUCCUAUCACAAGUUCUUUUCCUAUCAUGGCUUUCAUAGCAUCAGUUCCGAGAUGACCUAGAUGAGCAUGCCAUCGUGAGGCUUCGCUUUGAGUUUGAAGUUGUAGGCACGUUGGUUCUUCUAUUUCCAUUGCAACUUUAUAUAAACGGUUCCUUGAUCUUGAUGCCUUGACUAUCAAGUUACCAUCUUUGUCACGGAGUGUAAGAUAGUUUUCUCGCAUUCGUACAUCGCAUCCUGAUUAUGUGGCUUGAACGAGGCUUAUGAUAUUGCUUUUGAGUUUUGGAAUGUAGUAGACAUCUGCAAGGAUCUUUCUCUCUCCGUUGGGAGUGAUAAACAGAACGGCUCCCUUUCCCUUGAUGUCUAUUCUCGAAUCAUCUCUGAAACGGACCUUCCCGGUAAUCAUGUUGUCAAUAGUCCUGAAGAAGCUGCGGUUUCCUGUCAUAUGGUUAGAUGCUCCAUUGUCUAAGUACCAUAUCUUAUCUCCAUCAGUACUAGACUCAAGAUCUUUAGGUUUCACGUUCCGUUUGUUGAGAAAUACAACCUCAUGCAUUAAAAGUCCAUCAGCUUCGUGAGUUUCAUCUCCAUCUUUGCUCUCGGUUGUCUCUUGUAGCUUGAGAAGUCUAUCUGAAACAUGUGAUGUUUGUUUUAUCUCUACUGUCCCAAUAAGAUCUUCCGUGCCCUCUUCCUCUGCCGUAGUAGCGGUUACUUCGACCGCGACCUCUGUAUCCUCCAUCUCCUCUGUGUCCUCCGUCUCCUCUAUAUCCUCCAUUUCCUCUAUUUCCUCCAUCUCGGUAAUUUUGAGAUUAUGUGUUGCUGUACAUGAGUUUGCUCUGAUUUUCUUGUGUAUCUUCUUCUUCUUCUUCCGCCAUGAUACGCUCCUCGUAUGCUUUUAAACGUCCCACAACGUCUUCAAAACUCGCGGUGUUUAAGUCCAAGAGUUGUUCAAGUGAAGCAACUAUAUGAAUGUACUUCUUGCGUGGCAACCCUUGAAGGAACUUCUUUACAAGUUUUGCUUCAUUCAUACUUUCACCCAGUGCGGCGGAUUUUGAAGAUAUCUCUGUUAACUUGCCCACGAAGUCAUCAAUCUUAUCAGUUUCUUUCAUCUUUAGCCGUUCGAACUCAGUCAUCAAGGUCUGUAGUCUUGCUUCACGAACCCUAUCUGCUCCUACAUGUCGGGUCUUGAUCGCAUCCCAAACCUUCUUUGCGGUAUCAAGUGCUCCAACUUGUAGGAUCUCUCCGGAAUAGAUUGAAAGAGAAGAGCUGUCGCCAAGUCAUUCUUGUCUCCUUCUAUUGAGUCGCUCUCGACCACUUCCCAAACUUUAUGAACCCUAAGCAGCAUCUUCAUCCGUAUCGCCCAUACGAUGUAAUUCGUUGUUGUUAACAUCGGACACUUUAUGGAUGAACCUCCAUCCUUCUUGGUUGUCGUCGUUACCAAGUCAUCCAUGAUUCUUGAUCAAACUCUUGAUCGACUUUUGAACCUGGCUCUGAUACCAAAUAUAAUCUCAAGGAUUGUAUAAGAACACAAUAUAAAGAACUCUCUUUAUUAGCUUAAGAACUUUCUCAAAACUUAAGCUCUCACACAAUCUCUCAAACUCUUCAUAUCUAUGCAACACUCUUGCAUCUUAUAUAGAGAUGUUAUUUCCUAAAUUCUUAGGAACUAACUUUCCUAAACUCUUAGGAAUUAACUUUCCUAAACUCUUAGGAAUUAACUUAUUCUAAUCCUUACUCAAAAUAGGAUAGAUGUUACUUAGAUCCUAAGUUAACUUCAUGUUUAUCUCUAACAUCCCAGCAUGUUCCCAAUUGCAGCUUUACCAACGUCCAAAGUUUUAGCGUCAAUCUAGAAUCACAUGAUCACAGAGAUUGGCAUAUUUACACUAAAUCAUUGACUAUAUAACGCUAGCGCUAAGAAACUUAUGAGUAGAAUCAAACCUCUUCAGAAAGGUUGAAGCAUUCCCUGAAUUUUUCAUCAAAUGCUACAUGUUUCUCUGCAAGUAGAGUAGUGAGUUGCGAACCUACAUGGAUUGAAAAUGGAAAGUUAGGAAAAUGCACCGGAUAAUUAAUACCAUUACUAUAGGUAAUCAAAAUAGAUAUGCAUAAUAAUAUACAAGUGCACACAACAAAAUUAAAAUGAUUAUGCAAAAGUUUAUUGUGUUUAGGAAAAUGUCAUCAAUCAAUCCAUCACUAUCAUAACAUCAAUAUAUGCUCGAAGGUGCCAGGCUUGAAAAACCUGUAAGAGUGUUUGUACGAUCCUCCAUAUCGGCAGUUUUUUCAUCUAUCCCAGAUAUGAAGGCAAUAUCUAUAGUAGAGAACUGGCUCAUAGUGGAAAUCUGCAUGGCAACAGAUAAAUCAUAGGAUCCAUAUGAGUAAAUGUGGGAUGGUGGUUUUAUUCUUAAAUAACCAUGUAUAUAUAUCUUGAUAAAGACUGUUUUACCUGAAAAACAUAAACGUUGGAAUCAUCCUCCGCAGUGUCAGAGAGUUUAACUUGCCCAAACAUAUUUUCCUGAAAAUAUACAAGCCGAGAGGCAUGUAAGCACAUGUGGUCUUUACAAUAGUAUAUAUAUAUGAAAGACCUGCAAAAUUGAGAAUAUCACUAACAGUCAGGUUUUUCUGAACAAGAUCAGAUAGAUUGACAGAGUUGGACGUCUUGAACCCGCAAUAAUGACUUACGAGACCAGGAGUCUGCAAAUAAGGAGAAGCUAAAACAGUUAGAACACCAUGUUUCCAGCGAAGGAAGUAACUAGAAUCCUAUGAUCUCUGAAGACCACUACAAAUUAAAGAAAAAGCUACCUCUGACUUUAAGUGCAACUGCCAGUUUCCUACAUCUACUUUUCGGUUCCGGUAAAGUGGCAAAGUUAGAACUUUACCGGAUUCGGGUCGGGUCCUUUCGGAUCCGGAUCUUCGGAUCUAAGAGUUUAGGACCCGAUAGGGUAAUUUCAAAUUUCCAGGUCGGUUCGGGUCGUACCGGGUCCGGGUCGUACCGGGUCGGGUCGGGUCUUAGAUAGUUAGACCAAUUCGGGUAACUAGAAUUUAUCAGUUCGGAUUCGGUUCGGGUUCGAUUUAAAAAAGACCUAAAAAUACAAAAAAAAUAUCUGAAAAAUAUUUAUAUAUCCAAAAAUAUUUGAAAUUUUAUUCAAAAUUUGUGUGUUUUAUUAUAUUAAAAUAUGUAUAUAUAUUAAACUAUUCGAGAUACAACAACAAUUCGUUGUCUUCUAGUGGUUGACCCCCAUGUUCUCUAGAUGAAUAACCCGUUUUCGUUUCCCUCUUGAUGCAUUUUAUUUAAUUUAUAUUAUUAAUUCGGGUACCCAUCAGGUUUUGGGUUUGGGUCAGGUCGGGUCCAAGACCCGCGGAUCUUCUACAACAAGACCCGAUAGGGUAAUUUGAUCGGGUCGGUUCCUACCCGAACCGGGUUUUACGGGUCGGUUUUGGAUCGGGUUUUUGGGUCCGGGUAAAAUGCCCAGGCCUAGUUAAGGUUGCCUAAAAAGGAAUAGUAAUAAAUUAACCACACUUUAUUUUCAGCAUUAAUUCGAACUGACCAAUCCCCUCCAUAACCAAGGCUGCCCACCUUAGACUUGACAAAACUCGUCUGCAAUACCAAAUCUUUUUCAACCAGGUCUUGCUGCCCAUAAUCUGUUCCAUUGUGUUCUGUCCAUCCAAAUAACUUAAGACCGUGCUUGUCUUCACAGAAAUGCCUCAUCACAGGCUCAUUUUGUUCGGAAACGAGCCACAUCAAGCCAGCAACGAGAGGGUGGGGAUCUCUGCAUUGUCAUCAACAAUUUAUUAUCAACUUCUUUUUUUGACAGAGAACAACUUAUUAUCAACUUGCUUGUAACUUGUAAAAGAAUGGAACCGUUUGGCAUGAUAUAUGGGAACUGAUGCACAAAUAUAGAGAAACAACAAAUUAAGUACUCUGUUGGGUGCUAAAGUGACUACGUACUAAAGAUAAGGUCAAGGAACCAAUUAAGACGUUUCACGAAUAAUACCUAACGCGAACUCCGAAAUACGCCUGAGGGCGAUAAGUUCCCCAAUACAUGCUCUCCUUGCGCUCUUUAAACUGGAACAAGAAGCUCAAAAGAAUCAAAAUUUUCCACAACAAGAAACGUAUAAAGUUAAGUAAGACAAAUAUAUUUAGAGAGUACCAUAGUUAAGUCCAUGACAUUAGGAGCAGGAAAAGGAGUGGUAACAACCGGCCUUAGAGCAUGUGCAUCAGUGAACCCCAUGAAAGGGGUUCACAAAGUAUUUUUUUAUUAUUUUUUUUUUACUGUUUGAUUUUUGUUUUUAAAAAAAAAAAAAAAAUUAAUUAAUCGGACCAAUCGCGGACCGCCACGUAUCGUGGGGCCCGCGCUACAGUGAUGAACCAGGUUCACUGGGAAGAGCUUGGGAGAGACAGGUUCAUUACUAUUCAUUAUUAUAAUAUUUUUUUUUUUUUGAGAAUCUGUGUGAACUCCCCAUAAGUUCACUAAUGGGGGUGCUCUUACUAUCUGCUGGGUUUCAUCAUCAAGCGUAUGAGAGUACUCAUCAGGACGAGCAUCAGACUUCGCCAUCAGCACUGAGUAAGUGAAAGGUUUCUGCUAUGUGGAUGAUCGUUAAAGCUGAGAUAUGAACAGUGAAGCCUAAGAGGUGGGCUUUUAUAGCAAUGCUCUGGGGUUUCAAAAUAUGACUUUCUGCUACUUUAGUCUUUUUCUAAUCUUAUAUAUUAAAACAGAAGUCACAACCUUGAUUCAUGUGUGAUUUUUUUAAAAAAUUGACCUAAUGGACCUAAUGAACUUAUUCAUAGAAAUUCAUAUUACAUUUUAGUUCAGACUAAUAAUAAAUAGAAUUUUUAAAAUAUUUUAAUCAUAAUAUCUUUUGAUAUCUUUUCAUUUUAAAUAUAUAUAUAUUUAUUUUAAAAUUCUA
rnacentral:lncRNA from 1 species